GUUGAAACACUGGUUCUUGUAUGAUCACCUAAGUUAAGCAACUACAAGCCUGGUCAGUACCUAGGUAGGUGACAGCUUGGGAAUACCAGGUGUUUCA